AGACCCUGGGAUGCGCACCUCUCACACUAGACCCCGGGAUGGGCUCCUCUCACACUAGACCCCGGGGCGCGCUCCUCUCACACUAGACCCCGGGGCGCGCUCCUCUCACACUAGACCCCGGGCCGCGCUCCUCUCACACUAGACCCCGGGCCGCGCUCCUCUCACACUGGACCCCGGGCCGCGUUCCUCUCAUGAAGGAAAGAGAGCGCCCGUCAGCCAGCGCCUCUCCCUUCCCGACCCUCAGCCCCCGGCCACUGUCAGUCUCAGCGACUUGGCAUUCUUCAUGUCGAUGGGACCGUCUUUCUCCCCCGCUUAUCUCACUCAGCGUAAGGCUCCCCAGCCUCUUCCCUGCUGUCAGGAUGGGAGGAUGUCCUUCGUGGCUGAACAGGACUCCCUCCAGCCAAGCCGUAGAAGCGAGCUGCGCGGCCUCCCACCCAGAAGAUGCAGGACACAGACACAGUGGGCGUCAGCCUGAUGGAGUUCUCAGGGCGCAAGCCCCGCCCCGUUGCCAUCGGCGAGCAGCUGCCCAACUGGUUUCACCUGUGAAAGGUCCACUCGCCAACCGCCGGGAAGUCCCCUCGAUGUUAACAGUGUCCUGGACUCCCCAGAUCAGAAACGAUGACCGUGCUCCACCUGUGUCUCUUGGAGCUAGAGUGUGUCACCGGGCUCCGCUCACUGCACAUGUGCACGCGUGCACACGCAUGCCCACCAGUGUGCACACGCAUGCGCAAGGGCGCACACAUGCCCUUCAGGCCGACAGUAGUCACGGCUCCCUGCUGUGGCCCGUCCUGGGUGCUGCCCCAGUCCCGCUGGCCUCCUUUACCAACUCACCCCUCUGCCCAUCGACCCUUCUUACUCCUCCCUGGGAGGAGGGUCUCUGUCUCCCCAGCACCCCCGAGCCUAUCCGUUUGCCAACACACACUGGACAAAUUCCUAGUUGGGACCCUCACAAACUGCAGAGGCCCCGAUCCUAUCUGGAGACGUUCGCCCUCCAAGGCGUCCAGGAGACAGGGCUGCAAACAGAGCACCCGGGACACAGAGAGCACCCCCCACACAGGGGCACCAGGGGUGGUCACCCCGAGAAGGCACAGACUCGCUAG
rnacentral:lncRNA from 1 species